rnacentral:lncRNA from 1 species
UAACACAAAACAAAUUUAAUCUUAACGUGUAAUCUAUUCUUUAUUGAUACAGAUACAAGAUAAUGUAUGUGACAAAUUACAAACUUUUCGUAUAGAAAACCAGUAUAUUGCGGAGUGUAACACACGCAACACGUUCUACAUUUACUAUCGCAAGUUAGUGACCCAAGUGAACUUUAGUGUAAACAAGUGUAUAAAGUGACAAAAAUACAUUUAAUUUUUGUAAAAUAGUGUAAAUGAGUGAUUCGGAGCUAAAUUGUAAUAGGUUAUCGAUAAAAGGUUGCAUUAUGUCGAAUGUAAAUUAAAAAAAUAGUACCAUUCUUCCCAAAACGCCAGUAUGUGAAUCUGAAUUAACAAAAAAAGAAUUUAUCAUGAUCUGAUCAUAUAACGUUUGGAUAAGAGAUGUCACCGUUUGAUCACAUUUGUAUGUCGCCGUGGUACGCUGCGUUGUCGAUGCACAUACGAACAAGAUAAAAAAUAGCAAUAAAAGCUAAGUGUUUAUAGACUAAAAUGACCGUUUGGCGUGACAAUUUAAAAAUAUUAACAUGCAAAAGGGCUCUAUCAAAGAAAUACAUAUGGACAUUGAAAUGUGUUAGUGUUUUCUGACAAAGGAUACUAAGUUUUUAUCGGUACUACCCUCAUAAAAUUACAAAUCAAAACUUUUGCUAAACAAGUUGAUGAAUCAAUUUCGAAAUUAAUAUUAAAUAACUGACAUAAUAAUCAAGUUUUACUG